rnacentral:rRNA from 1 species
GUCCACGCCCUAAACGAUGUCAACUAGGUGUUGGGAGGGUAAAACCUUUUAGUACCGGAGCUAACGCGUGAAGUUGACCGCCUGGGGAGUACGGCCGCAAGGUUAAAACUCAAAGGAAUUGACGGGGACCCGGCACAAGCGGUGGAUGAUGUGGAUUAAUUCGAUGCAACGCGAAAAACCUUAACCUACCCUUGACAUGUCCAGAAGCCUGAAGAGAUUUGGGUGUGCUCGAAAGAGAACUGGAACACAGGUGCUGCAUGGCUGUCGU